AUCCCUCUCUUCUUCCAUGAAACCAGGGCCAGCGCCUGGGGCAUUUGUUCCCUCCCUUCUCAGGCUGUGGCUGGUUUGUAAAGGAUCAGAGAAAAGCUGUCUCCAAGGACUGCCGCUGCAGUCCACGUGACCAGGAUGAAAGUCAUUAACAAAAGGCGGAAAAGCCUCUGCUGUCCUCUCAGGGACUCAGAUGGAGGUCAGUGAGAUGCCCAGAGCGAUAAAUAAGGAGGGAACAAAGAAUAAACCCCCAAAAGCGUUUACGCUGAGAUGAAAAGGCAUUGCUAAACGCUAACCCGCUAACCGCCAAGACUUGUGUACAGGAACCACAUGUCUGGGGAUGCUCUGGAAUGUCACAAACUGCAGGGACACGAGCUGAGGUCAGGACAGACUUUCUGGAGGAGGUGCCACCAAGGACAAGGCAGAAAGCACAGUGGUUAGGAACGGCCUGGGUUUGUGUGACCCUGGCCGGCAGCUAUGCUGGCGAGGAGACCCAAGCGGCCCCAUGGAGAUCCACACGAGAAGGAAGGAACCAAUGCUUCUGCCAACAGCCGGCAUCAAGUUACCAGCCCUGUGAGAGAUCCGCCUUGGAAGGACAUCCUCCAGCCCCGGCCAAUACCUUGACUGCAACUUCUCAAGAGACUCCGAACCCCCAAUGCCUGACCCACAGAAACUGAGUGAGAUAAUAAAUGUUUAUUGUUGUUUUAA